rnacentral:rRNA from 1 species
CAGGACGAACGCUGGCGGCGUGCUUAACACAUGCAAGUCGAGCGGAGAUUGCAUUUAUGUAAUCUUAGCGGCGGACGGGUGAGUAACGCGUAGGCAACCUGCCUUGCACAGAGGGAUAACACCGGGAAACUGGUGCUAAUACCACAUGAUAUCAUAACAAGGCAUCUUGAAAUGAUCAAAGGAGAAAUCCGGUGCAAGAUGGGCCUGCGUCCGAUUAGUUAGUUGGUGAGGUAACGGCUCACCAAGGCGACGAUCGGUAGCCGAACUGAGAGGUUGAUCGGCUACAUUGGGACUGAGACACGGCCCAGACUCCUACGGGAGGCAGCAGUGGGGAAUAUUGCGCAAUGGGGGGAACCCUGACGCAGCAACGCCGCGUGAAGGAAGAAGGCCUUCGGGUUGUAAACUUUUUUGAUUGGGGAAGAAAAAAAUGACGGUACCCAAGGAACAAGCCACGGCUAACUACGUGCCAGCAGCCGCGGUAAUACGUAGGUGGCGAGCGUUGUCCGGAAUUACUGGGUGUAAAGGGCGUGUAGGCGGGAUUGUAAGUCAGAUGUGAAAUUCCAGGGCUUAACUCUGGAGGUGCAUCUGAAACUAUAAUUCUUGAGUGCUGGAGAGGAAAGCGGAAUUCCUAGUGUAGCGGUGAAAUGCGUAGAUAUUAGGAAGAACACCAGUGGCGAAGGCGGCUUUCUGGACAGUAACUGACGCUGAGGCGCGAAAGCGUGGGGAGCAAACAGGAUUAGAUACCCUGGUAGUCCACGCUGUAAACGAUGGAUACUAGGUGUAGGAGGUAUCGACCCCUUCUGUGCCGGAGUUAACACAAUAAGUAUCCCACCUGGGGAGUACGCCCGCAAGGCUGAAACUCAAAGGAAUUGACGGGGGCCCGCACAAGCAGUGGAAUAUGUGGUUUAAUUCGAAGCAACGCGAAGAACCUUACCAGGGCUUGACAUCCCUCGGAUAACAUAGAGAUAUGUUAGUCCUUCGGGACGAGGAGACAGGUGGUGCAUGGUUGUCGUCAGCUCGUGUCGUGAGAUGUUGGUUUAAGUCCCGCAACGAGCGCAACCCCUAUUGUUAGUCGCCAUCAUUAAGUGGGGCACUCUAACGAGACUGCCGGUGACAAAUCGGAGGAAGGUGGGGACGACGUCAAAUCAUCAGGCCCCUUAUGUCCUGGGCUACACACGUACUACAAUGGUCACUACAAAGGGAAGCAAUACCGCAAGGAGGAGCAAAUCCCCAAAGGUGACCUCAGUUCGGAUUGUGGGCUGAAACCCGCCCACAUGAAGUCGGAAUUGCUAGUAAUGGCAGGUCAGCAUACUGUCGUGAAUACGUUCCCGGGCCUUGUACACACCGCCCG